rnacentral:snRNA from 1 species
GUGCUCGCUUCGGCAGCACAUAUACUAAAAUUGGAACGAUACAGAGAAGAUUAGCAUGGCCCCUGCACAAAGAAUGUCUAACUUAGAACCUCUGCUUUUCU